rfam:Cephalotus follicularis DNA, scaffold: scaffold10645, isolate: St1.
AGGAGCAACCAUAUCAGUACUAAUGCACGGGAUUCCAUCAGAACUUCGCAAUUAAGCAUGCUUGGGCGAUAAUAGUUCUAAGAUGGGCUUGUCUUAUGACUUUCAUGGAAACAGGAUAGUGGCUUGAC